GAUGAACGCUAGCGGCAGGCCUAACACAUGCAAGUCGAGGGGCAGCACGUCUUCGGAUGGUGGCGACCGGCGCACGGGUGCGUAACGCGUAUGCAACCUACCUUACACUGGGGUAUAGCCCGGAGAAAUUCGGAUUAAUCCCCCAUGGUACUUUUGAAUGGCAUCAUUUGGAAGUUAAAGUAUUACGGUGUAAGAUGGGCAUGCGUCCUAUUAGCUAGAUGGUAAGGUAACGGCUUACCAUGGCUACGAUAGGUAGGGGGCCUGAGAGGGUGGUCCCCCACACUGGUACUGAGACACGGACCAGACUCCUACGGGAGGCAGCAGUGAGGGAAUAUUGGUCAAUGGGCGCAAGCCUGAACCAGCCAUGCCGCGUGCAGGAAGAAUGCCUAUGGGUUGUAAACUGCUUUUAUUAGGAAUAACCUUACUACGUGUAGUUAAGCUGAAGGUACUGAAUGAAUAAGCACCGGCUAAUCCGUGCCAGCAGCCG
rnacentral:rRNA from 1 species